CGUGAAACCGCUUAGGGGUAAACGGGCGGAACCGCAGCGAACGGCCCGGGAGGGUCAGUUUUGGACGGCGCCUCGAUGACGGGCGCGGGUACGUGCGCAAGCGCGGCUCGCGUUCUGAGUCGGAGUCCGUCCCGGGCGCAUCCCUCCCGGGCCUGUGCCGCGACCGACUCUGGUCCGGCCCGUGGAGGCCGUUGGAUCCGAGGGGUUUCGACCCUGAGGUGAGACGCGUUUCCGUUAGCGAGCCCGGACCGGGGUCGAGGAACGACCGCGGGACUAGGGGCGGUCGCGUUUCGCGCUUCGGCGAGUUGCGCGACUCCCGCCCGCUGAGGGUCGGCGGCGAUCACGGACGGUUUUCCUCCCGACCCGUCUUGAAACACGGACCAAGGAGUCCGGCGCGCGCGCGAGUCGCGGGGUUCUACGAAACCCGCAGGCGCAGUGAAAGCGAGGGUAGCGUCGGUCUGCCCGGGCGGGAUCCCGCGGGGCGUUCCUUAACGGGACGUCCUCGGGCGCACCGCCGGCCCGUCCCUCGCCGUGUUGUCGGUGGGGCGGAGCGAGAGCGCGCGUGCCGGGACCCGAAAGAUGGUGAACUACGCCUGGGCAGGGCGAAGCCGGGGGAAACCCCGGUGGAGGCCCGCAGCGACUCUGACGUGCAAAUCGAUCGUCCGACCCGGGCGUAGGGGCGAAAGACCAAUCGAACCAUCUAGUAGCUGGUUCCCUCCGAAGUUUCCCUCAGGAUAGCCGGCGCCCGAUACAUACGGAGUUUCAUCCGGUAAAGCGAAUGAUUAGAGGCCUCGGGGCCGAAACGGCCUCGACCUAUUCUCAAACUUUCAACGGGUGAGAAGCUCGGCCCGCCUGAACCACGGGGCCGGGUCCUUCAGAAUCCGGGUGCCGAGUGGGCCACUUUUGGUAAGCAGAACUGGCGCUGCGGGAUGAACCGAACGCCCGGUUGCGGUGCCCAACGCUGACGCUCAUCGGACCCCACAAAAGGCGUCGGUCGGUACAGACAGCAGGGCGGUGGCCAUGGAAGUCGGAAUCCGCCAAGGAGUGU
rnacentral:rRNA from 1 species